rnacentral:lncRNA from 1 species
UUUACCAUCUUUGGCUUGAGCAAAUGAAAUGCGAUCAUUAUUUACUCAUCCUCAUGUUAUUAGACACCAUUAUGCUGUUAUUUUCUCUGUGGAACAUCUACUGUACUUCUUGGCAUUUCCCCACCUAAAAGUCAUGGGUACAAUAGGAAGUGGGUUGCUCUAACAAACAGGCACUGUGGCGGUCGUCUUAUAGUAAUGCCAUGAUACUUUGAUAUACACUAUAUUAUGAUACUGAGUGAAUACCAUAUUCAUUUAUAAUGGUAUUUACAUCAAAGAAAAAUGCAGCAAUACCAUGUCAACUGAAAACACUGUUUCUUCAUCAGUACAGCUUAGGUCAUUUCUCAGAGCUGGAGGGAGCAGGACGCAGACCUAAGCCUCAGUGGGGAGAAAACGGCCAUGACAGGAAACUUCAGAGAUACAAAACUCAGCGCCUGGUGACCCAUCUCCACAGAGACACGGCCCAUGACCCAGAGUGCCAUACCAGCUCGGAGAGGCUCAGCCAUCCGGCUGUGUCAGAGCAGCCCUGUUCCCAAAAAUCAGUCGUUUCACAUGUACCAUUAAGACUACAGAUCAAAGUGAACGGACAGAGAGGAGGACUGGGAAUUUGUAUUGCUGGAGGGAAAGGCUCCUUGCCGUACAAACACAAUGAUGAGGUAGGCCUUAUCUUCCUGUAG